rnacentral:rRNA from 1 species
GACAACGACUACGCGCAGCUGGUGAAGGACGUUAAUGAUGAACAACUGGCGCUGAUCGCCACCAUGAAAGCAGGCGUCAGCUAUGUGGAUUACCACAUCCAGUUCCAUCAGCGCAUCGCCAAACUGCUGCGUAAACAUCAAAUCAUCACCGAUAUGAGUGAAGAAGCGAUGGUCGAAAACGAUCUUACCGGGCCGUUUAUGCCGCAUGGUAUCGGCCAUCCGCUGGGCCUGCAGGUGCAUGACGUCGCUGGUUUUAUGCAGGAUGAUAGCGGUACGCACCUCGCGGCACCGGCAAAAUAUCCGUACCUGCGCUGCACCCGUAUUCUCCAGCCGGGCAUGGUGUUAACCAUCGAACCGGGUAUCUACUUCAUCGAAUCGCUACUGGCACCGUGGCGUGAAGGGCAGUUCAGCAAGCACUUCAACUGGCAGAAAAUUGAAGCACUGAAACCGUUCGGCGGCAUUCGUAUCGAAGACAACGUGGUGAUCCACGAAAACAACGUGGAAAACAUGACCCGGGAUCUGAAACUGGCGUGAUGGAAAGCUGGUUAAUUCCUGCGGCACCGGUCACGGUCGUUGAAGAGAUCAAAAAGAGCCGCUUCAUAACGAUGUUGGCGCAUACCGAUGGCGUUGAGGCGGCGAAAGCGUUUGUUGAAUCGGUGCGGGCAGAACACCCCGAUGCCCGGCACCAUUGCGUGGCGUGGGUCGCGGGUGCGCCGGAUGAUUCUCAACAGCUGGGUUUCUCUGACGACGGGGAGCCGGCGGGAACGGCAGGUAAACCGAUGCUCGCCCAGCUAAUGGGCAGCGGCGUCGGGGAAAUUACCGCUGUGGUAGUGCGCUACUACGGCGGCAUAUUGCUUGGCACCGGUGGGUUAGUGAAAGCGUAUGGCGGCGGCGUGAAUCAGGCGCUGCGCCAGCUAACGACCCAACGCAAGACGCCAUUAACCGAAUAUACUUUGCAAUGUGAAUAUCAUCAGUUAACCGGCAUUGAAGCGUUGCUGGGGCAGUGUGACGGCAAAAUUAUCAACAGUGAUUAUCAGGCAUUCGUUCUGCUGCGGGUGGCGCUUCCGGCGGCGAAAGUGGCUGAAUUUUCCGCAAAGCUGGCGGAUUUUAGCCGUGGUUCAUUGCAAUUGUUAGCGAUUGAAGAAUAAUCCCCACUUCGUUUUGCAGAACUAAGGAAGCGGCAGAGAUGCAUUUUCGCGCCAUUACCCGAAUCGUUGGACUACUGGUCAUCUUAUUUUCAGGGACCAUGAUUAUCCCUGGGCUGGUAGCACUCAUCUACCGGGAUGGAGCGGGCCGCGCUUUUACCCAGACCUUUUUUGUCGCCCUCGCCAUUGGCUCUAUGCUGUGGUGGCCGAACCGCAAAGAGAAAGGCGAACUUAAAUCCCGUGAGGGGUUUCUGAUAGUGGUGCUGUUCUGGACCGUGCUGGGUAGCGUCGGUGCGCUCCCUUUUAUCUUCUCGGAAAGCCCGAACCUCACGAUUACCGAUGCGUUUUUUGAAUCUUUCUCUGGCCUGACCACUACGGGAGCCACUACGCUGGUGGGGCUGGAUUCGCUCCCUCACGCCAUCCUCUUUUAUCGCCAGAUGCUGCAAUGGUUUGGCGGGAUGGGGAUCAUCGUGUUGGCGGUUGCGAUACUGCCUAUCCUCGGCGUGGGUGGGAUGCAGCUCUAUCGCGCAGAAAUGCCCGGCCCGCUGAAAGAUAACAAAAUGCGCCCGCGAAUUGCGGAAACGGCGAAAACCCUGUGGUUGAUUUAUGUCUUGCUGACCGUCGCCUGUGCGCUGGCGUUGUGGUUUGCCGGAAUGGAUGCCUUUGAUGCCAUCGGCCAUAGCUUUGCGACUAUCGCUAUUGGCGGCUUCUCGACACAUGAUGCCAGUAUCGGUUAUUUCGAUAGCCCGACUAUUAACACUAUCAUUGCUAUCUUCCUGCUGAUCUCCGGCUGUAACUACGGUCUGCACUUUUCACUGUUAAGUGGGCGUAGUCUGAAGGUUUAUUGGCGCGAUCCGGAAUUUCGCAUGUUUAUCGGCGUACAGUUUACGCUGGUGGUUAUUUGUACCCUCGUACUGUGGUUUCAUAAUGUCUACAGUUCGGCGCUGAUGACAAUUAACCAGGCGUUUUUCCAGGUGGUGUCGAUGGCGACAACCGCCGGGUUUACAACUGACAGCAUUGCCCGCUGGCCGCUCUUUUUGCCGGUACUGCUUUUAUGUUCAGCCUUUAUCGGCGGUUGCGCCGGGUCAACGGGCGGUGGCCUGAAGGUGAUCCGCAUCCUGCUGCUGUUUAAGCAGGGGAACCGUGAGCUGAAACGACUGGUGCAUCCGAACGCCGUCUAUAGCAUUAAGCUGGGGAAUCGCGCACUGCCGGAACGUAUCCUCGAAGCCGUUUGGGGAUUUUUCUCCGCCUAUGCAUUGGUGUUUAUUGUCAGUAUGCUGGCGAUUAUCGCCACGGGCGUGGAUGACUUUUCUGCCUUUGCGUCGGUUGUUGCGACAUUGAAUAACCUGGGGCCAGGGCUUGGCGUGGUUGCUGAUAACUUUACCAGUAUGAACCCGGUGGCUAAAUGGAUCCUGAUUGCCAACAUGCUGUUUGGUCGUCUCGAGGUCUUUACAUUGCUGGUGCUCUUUACCCCGACUUUCUGGCGUGAAUGAUGGAGUAAUACGUGAAAACAUUAAUUCUUUUCUCAACAAGGGACGGACAAACGCGCGAGAUUGCCUCCUACCUGGCUUCGGAACUGAAAGAACUGGGGAUCCAGGCGGAUGUCGCCAAUGUGCACCGCAUUGAAGAACCACAGUGGGAAAACUAUGACCGUGUGGUCAUUGGUGCUUCUAUUCGCUAUGGUCACUACCAUUCAGCGUUCCAGGAAUUUGUCAAAAAACAUGCGACGCGGCUGAAUUCGAUGCCGAGCGCCUUUUACUCCGUGAAUCUGGUGGCGCGCAAACCGGAGAAGCGUACUCCACAGACCAACAGCUACGCGCGCAAGUUUCUGAUGAACUCGCAAUGGCGUCCCGAUCGCUGCGCGGUCAUUGCCGGGGCGCUGCGUUACCCACGUUAUCGCUGGUACGACCGUUUUAUGAUCAAGCUGAUUAUGAAGAUGUCAGGCGGUGAAACGGAUACGCGCAAAGAAGUUGUCUAUACCGAUUGGGAGCAGGUGGCGAAUUUCGCCCGAGAAAUCGCCCAUUUAACCGACAAACCGACGCUGAAAUAAGCAUAAAGAAUAAAAAAUGCGCGGUCAGAAAAUUAUUUUAAAUUUCCUCUUGUCAGGCCGGAAUAACUCCCUAUAAUGCGCCACCACUGACAUGGAACAACGGCAAACACGCCGCCGGGUCAGCGGGGUUCUCCUGAGAACUCCGGCAGAGAAAGCAAAAAUAAAUGCUUGACUCUGUAACGGGAAAGCGUAUUAUGCACACCCCGCGCCGCUGAGAAAAAGCAAAGCGGCACUGCUCUUUAACAAUUUAUCAGACAAUCUGUGUGGGCACUCGAAGAUACGGAUUCUUAACGUCGCAAGACGAAAAAUGAAUACCAAGUCUCAGGAGUGAACACGUAAUUCAUUACGAAGUUU